rnacentral:lncRNA from 1 species
AAGUCAUAAAGCCUCCUGUAGGCAGAGCGUAGACAAGAGUUCCCUCCCCAGGGUGAUCAGUGCAGAGAUGUGUCACAAAGCCCCUGUAGGCAGAGCGUAGACAAGAGUUCCCUCCCCAGGGUGAUCAGUGCAGAGAUGUGUCACAAAGCCCCUGUAGGCAGAGCCUAGACAAGAGUUUCAUCACUUGGUUGAUCAGUUCAGAGAUGUGUCACAAUGUCCAUGUAGGCAGAUCUAAGACAAGGGUCCAUCACCUGGGUGAUCAGUGCAGAGAUAUGUACCAAUGUGCCCUGUAGGCAGUGCCUAGACAAGAGUUGAAUCACCUCAGAGAUCAGUGCAUAGAUAUGUCACAAAGCCUUCUGUAGGCAAAGCCCAUACAAGGUUUACAUCACCUAGGUGAUCAGUGCAGUGAUAUGUCACAAAAAUCCCUGUAGACAGAGCCUAGACAAGAGUUACAUCACCUGGGUGAUCAGUGCAGAUAUUUGACACAAUGCCCCCAUAGACAGAGCCUAGACAAGACUUCCAUCACCUGGGUGAUCAGUGCAGAGAUAUGUCACAAAUCCCCCUCUAGGCAGAGUAUAGAGAAGAGUCCCAUCACCUGGUUGAUCAGUGCAGAGAUAUUUCACAAUACCUCCUGUAGGCAGAUCCUAGUCAAGAGUUGCAUCACCUGGGUGAUCAGUGCAGAGAUAUUUCACAACGCCCCCUGUAGGCAGAGGGUAGACAAGAGUUACAUCACCUAGGUGAUCAGUGCAGAGAUUUGUCGAAAUUCCCUGUAGGCAGUGCUUAUAAAAGUGUUACAUCACCUAAGUGAUCAGUGCAGAGAUAUGUCACAAAGCUCCUGUAGGCAGAGCUUAGAUGAGUUACAUCACCUGGGUGAUCAGAGCAAAGGUAUGUCACAAAGCCCCCUGUAGGCCAAAGCCUAGACAAUAGUUACAUCACUUGGGUGAUCAGUGGCGAGAUCUCUCACAAUUCCCCUGUAGGCAGAGCUUAUACAACAGUUACAUCACCUGGGUGAUCAGUGCAGAUAUAUGUCACAAUGCCCCCAUAGGCAGAUCCAAGACAAGAGUCCGUCUCCUGGGUGAUCAGUGCAGAAAUACGUCACAAUGCCCCCUUAGGCAGAGCCUAGACAAAAGCCCCAUCACCUGGAUGAUUAGUGCAGAGUUAUGUCACAAAGUCCCUUUAGGCAGAUCCUAGACAAGAGUCCCAUUACUUGGGUGAUCAGUGCAGAGAUAUGUCACAAUGCCACUGUAGGCAGAGCCUAGACAAGAGUUACAUGACCUAGGUGAUCAGUGCAGAGAUACAUCGCAAUGCCCCUGUAGGCAGAGCCUUGACAAGUGGUACAUCACCUGGGUGAUCAUUGCAGGGAUAUGUCACAAAGCACCCUGUAGGCAGAUCCUAGAGAAGAGUUAUAUCACCUGGGUGAUCAGUGCAGAGAUAUGUCACAAGCCCCCUGUAGGCAGAGCCUAGACAAGAGUUAUAUCACCUGGGUGAUCAGUGCAGUCAUAUGUCACAAUGCUGUGUAGCCAGAGCCUAGACAAAAGUUACAGCACCUGGGAGAUCAGUGCAGAGAUAUGUCACAAUGUCCCCAGUAGGCAGAGACCAGGCAAGAGUUGGAUCACCUCGGGAUCAGUGCAGAGAUAUGUCUCAAUCCCCCUGUGGGCACAGCCUAGACAAGAGUUACAUCACCUCGGUUAACAGUGCAGAGAUAUGUCAAAAUGCCCCUGUAGGCAGAGCCUACACAAGUAUUACAUCACUUAGGUGAUCAGUGCAGAGAUAUGUCACAAUACCCCCUGUAAGCAGAGCCUAGACAAGAGUUACAUCACCUGGGUGAUCAGUGCAGACAUAUGUGACAAGGCCCCUUUAAGCAGAGCCUAGACAAUAGUUACAUCACCUGAGUGAUCAGUGCAGAGAUCUGUCACAAUGCCCCUUUAGGCAGAGCUUAGACCAGAGUUACAUCACCUGGGUGAUCAGUGCAGAGGUAUGUCACAUUGCCCCCAUAGGCAAAUCCAAGACAAGAGUCAGUCACCUGGGUGAUCACUGCAGAAAUAUGUGACAAUGCCCCCAGUAGGCAGAACCUAGAGAAGAGUCCCUUCACCUGGGUGAUCAGUGCAGAGUUAUGCCACAAUGCCCCCUGUAGGCAGAGCCUAGACAAGAGUUACAUCAUCUGGUUGAUCAGUAAAGAGAUAUUUCUCAAUGCCCCUGCAGGCAGAGCGUAAGCAAGAGUUACAUCACCUAGAUGAUCAGUGCAGAGAUACGUCACAAGGCCCCCUAUAGGCAGAGCCUGGACAAGAGUUACAUCACCUCGGUGAUCAAUGCAGUGAUAUGUCACUGUGCCCCGUAGGCAGAGCCUAGUCAAGCGUUACAUCACCUGGGUGAUCAGUGCAGAGAUAUGUCAGAAAGCCCCCAUACACAGAGCCUAGACAAGAGUCCCAUCACCUGGGUGAUCAGUGCAGAAAUAUGUCACAAUGCCCCUAUAGGCAGAUCCAACACAAGUGUUACAUCACCUGGGUGAUCAGUGCAGAAAUAUGUCUCAAUGCCCCCAUAGGCAGAUCCAACACAAGAGUUACAUCACCUGGGUGAUCAGUGUAGAGAUAUGUCACAAUGCCCCCGUAGACAGAGCCUAGACAAAAGUCCCAUCACCUGGGUGAUCAGUGCAGAGAUAUGUCACAAAGCCCCUGUAGGCAGAGCCUAGACAAGAGUUACAUCACUUUGUUGAUCAGUUCAGAGAUGUGUCACAAUGCCCAUGUAGGCAGAGCCUAGACAAGUGUUCCAUCACCUGGGUGAUCAGUGCAGAGAUAUGUGACAAGGCCCCUUUAAGCAGAGCCUAGACAAUAGUUACAUCACCUGAGUGAUCAAUGCAGUGAUAUGUCACUAUGCCCCAGUAGGCAGAGCCUAGUCAAGCGUUACAUCACCUGAGUGAUCAGUGCAGAGAUAUGUCACAAAGCCCCCAUACACAGAGCCUAGACAACAGUCCCAUCCCCUGGGUGAUCAGUGCAGAAAUAUGUCACAAUGCCCCCAUAGGCAGAUCCAACACAAGAGUUACAUCACCUGGGUGAUCAGUGUAGAGAUAUGUCACAAUGCCCCCAUAGGCAGAGCGUAGACAAAAGUCCCAUCACCAGGGUGAUCAGUGCAGAGAUAUGUCACAAAGCCCCCAUAGGCAGAGCCUAGACAAGAGUUACAUCACUUGGUUGAUCAGUUCAGAGAUGUGUCACAAUGCCCAUGUAGGCAGAGCCUACACAAGUGUUACAUCACUUAGGUGAUCAGUGCAGAGCUAUGUCACAAUACCCCCGUAAGCAGAGCCUAGACAAGAGUUACAUCACCUGGUUGAUCAGUGCAGAGAUAUCUCACAAUGUCCCUGCAGGCAGAGUGUAGACAAGAGUUACAUCACCUAGAUGAUCAGUGCAGAGAUAUUUCACAAUGCCCCCUGUAGGCAGAGCCUAGACAAGAAUUAUAUUACCUGGAUGAUCAGUACGGUGAUAUGUCACUAUGCCCCCUGUGGGCGGAGCCUAGACAAGAGUUACAUCACCUGGGUGAUAAGGGCAGAGAUAUGUCACAAUGCUCCAGUAGGCAGAGCCUAGACAAGAGUCCUAUCACCUGGGUGAUCAGUGCAGAAAUAUGUCACAAUGCCCCCAGUAGACAGAGCCUAGACAAGAGUUACAUCACCUGGGUGAUCAGUGCAGAAAUAUGUUGCAAUGCCCCCAUAGGCAGAUCCAACACAAGAGUUACAUCACCUGGGUGAUCAGUGCAGAGAUAUGUAACAAUGCCCCCAGUAGGCAGAGCCUAGAGGAGAGUUACAUCAUCUGGGUGAUCUUUGCAGAGAUAUGUCACAAUCCUCCAAGUAAGCAGAGCCUAGACAAAAGUUACAUCAUCUGGGCGAUCAGUGCAGAGACAAGUCACAAAACCCACAUAGGAAAAGACUAGACAAGAGUUACAUCAUCUGGGUCAUCAGUGCAGACAUAUGUCAAAGCUGCCGUAGGCAGAGUGUAGACAAGUAUUACAUCACUUGGGUGAUCAGUGCAGAGAUCUAUCACAGUGCCCCCAUAGGCAGAGCCUAGACAAGAGUUCCAUCACCUGUGUGAUCAGUGUAGAGAUAUGUCACAAUGCCUCCUGUAGGCAGAGGCUAGACAAGAGUUACAUCACCUGGAUUUUGUUUCCUGCAAUAUGUCACAAUGGCGAGGGUGAGGGUUAGGGUUAGGGUGAGGGUCAGGGUGAGGGUCAGGGUGAGGGUCAGGGUGAGGGUGAGGGUCAGGGUGAGGGUGAGGGUUAGGGUUAGGGUGAGCAUUAGGUUUAGGGUUAGGGUUAGGGUUAGGGGUUAGGCUUAGGCUUAGGGUAAGGCUUAGGGUUCAGGUUCAAGUUUGGAUUCGGGUUCGGGUUCAGGUUAAGAGUUAGGGUUAGGGUUACGGGUUAGGGUUAGGGGUUAGGGUUAGGUGUUAGGGCUGGGUUAGGUUUAGGGUUAGGGUUAUGGGUUACGGUUAGGGUUAGGGUUUAGGGUUAGGGUUAGGGUUAGGAUUGGGGUUAGGUUUAGGGUUAGGGUUAGGGUUAGGUUUAGGGUUGGGUUAGGGUUAGGAUUGGG